AUGAGCCUUCUGGAAGAAUUUUUCGUUUUUUCUGCUUUAAAAUUCACGUUUUUUUUUUUUGGUUUCGAGACCGGCGCCUAAUGACGGCGCUUAUUAUUUUCGAUCGCCACGCGAAUUUUUUACCACCGUUAUCGCGUUCCCGCCAAAACGUCGUUAUCAGCGCGUCCGACGCCAUGGUUUUAUUUUUUGCGCCAUCGUCGUCCGUUACUUCGUCGUUUAUUUUCAUGAUAAUUCGAGUUUCGUCCGUCGCCCUGUCCUUCGCAUAUAUGAUUUUGUAAUUUUUAAAUGGCAUUUGUUGUGUCCUGGCGAUCAAGAACUGAUUUAUGUCGCGGGUAACACAUAUUUAUUUAUUAUGAAACGUGUGUUUUGAUUUUGUGAUACUCCAUUUUCUUAAUUUAUGAUGUUUGCCAGAACUUAAUGUUUGUGAUUCCGCUUAAAUAUUUUUUCGACGAUCGUUGUACGACAGUAAGGACUGUAUUGAUUAAUGCCAUUUGUAAAUUAUGUAGUUCUAUUGCAAUUAUUAGGCGAAACGUGUAAUCGAUGGCGUUUGUUGUGUUCCGAGGACUGCGGUCGAAUAGUGGCUCAACCCGUUCGAUCAACUCUGAUCGACAACGGAUUUAUUACACGGACGACUGAUUGAAAAGCUGCUUGACCCGUUGACCAAGAGUGCUGCUUGCUAUAAUGUAUGAGGAUUUAUUACACGGUCUGUGCGGCUUUUGUUUUGUCCGGAUGACUGGUCGAAUAGUGUCUUGACCCAUUGGCCAAGAGUGCUGGCUAUUAUUCAUAAUAGUUGUAUUACACAGAUUUCAGACUGUGUGUUUGUUGUGUCCACAUGACUGUUUAAAUAAUGUCUCAACCUGUAGAGUCUACAAUGUUUUUUAAAAGUAUUGGUCUACAGUGUAGACAUACUACUUAUUAAAAAAGUAGUAUCUAUACUUACAACCUUUAUUGUGGGCGAAUAGCUAUAAAAAAAGUUGAAUAAACAUAUAAAUAUAUUUUGGGAAAAAUGACGUGGAAUACUAAAUUGUGCACAGCCUCUGGUAAAGCUACAAAAAUUUUCCAUUCUGUUUUACCCGCGAUGUGUUGAUAGUGCUGUGCUAUUGGUUUUUUUUUUAGUCAGUGCUUGCCUUCCUUUGCUGUUUGCCGUUCCUCCAUUAUGGUACUCCUGUCAAACCUCGAUUCUAUAAUAGUAAAUUAUUUUUGAUAACUCUAAG